AUAGAGAAGAAGUCGGUGCCAGUUUAUUAAGCCUAAACAAAUGUGUUUGUAAAUGUUACUUUGCAGUGGUGCAGCCAUGGUUGAGGAGAUUGACCAGGUGGAAGCUAAACAAUGGAUGAAAGUCAAGGUUGAACCCAGGCAUCCUGGGAAAGGAGAAAGAGCGAGUAAUGAGAAAUGGAGCGGCAGCUCAGGAGUGGAGCCACCGCUGCUGCAGGACGGGAGGAGUAAGCUUGUGUUUCAGGACAAAGCUGCUGCUGAGAGGGGCUUAAGUAGCUUCUGAGAAGCGGGGAGACUGGUAAUGACUGGAACUGUGGCCCUCUUGUGUCUGUGAGGGGACAAGCUUGAGGACCAAGGCCAACGUACCUAGAUAGCAGAGGGGAAAGAUGGACAGAACCUGCAUCCAUGAGGACAUUCUGAGGCUGUUAUAUUAACCAAUCGCAGAAUCACCGUAUUUCUAGGUUUCUUGUGUUGUUGAUGCUCUUGAGAACAUCAGCCAGGACAUUCACGUGCACCAUUAUGGCGGAACAGAAAGAUGAGGAAAGAGUUGGACAAUUUUGAUUAUCUGUCUGCACCAAAGAUUUUCCAGCAAGAGG
rnacentral:lncRNA from 1 species